UGGGGAAUUUUGCACAAUGGGGGAAACCCUGAUGCAGCGACGCCGCGUGAUUUAGAAGGCCUUCGGGUUGUAAAAAUCUUUUUUACGGGAUGAAAAUGACAGUACCGUAAGAAUAAGGUCCGGCUAAAUACGUGCCAGCAGCCGCGGUAAUACGUAUGGACCGAGCGUUGUCCGGAAUCAUUGGGCGUAAAGGGUACGUAGGCGGCCUAGUAAGUUAGAAGUGAAAUAAUAUAGCUCAACUAUAUAAAGCUUUUAAAACUGCUAGGCUUGAGAGAUGGAAGGGUAAGUGGAAUUCCUAGUGUAGCGGUGAAAUGCGCAGAUAUUAGGAAGAAUACCGGUGGCGAAGGCGACUUUCUGGUCAUCAUCUGACGCUGAGGUACGAAAGCGUGGGUAGCAAACAGG
rnacentral:rRNA from 1 species